GGCUGUUCAUGCUGGGUGAGCUCUAAGUCAUGUCAGUAUAGAUAGCUUUGCAAGUGGGGUCUUCCAUGAAAUUACCAGGUUCAUUGGUAUAUGUGCAGACUUUUUCUAUAGGUAAAUUGCUUGCUGUGGGAGUUUGGUGUACAGACUUUCAUCACCCAGGAUUAUUUUCAGGAUUGAAAUGAAAAAGCCAAAAUUGACAAAUGGGAUCGAAUUAAACUAAAGAGCUUCUGCAUAGCAAAAGA